UACGAAGGGUGCAAACGUUGCUCGGAAUUAUUGGGCGUAAGGCGCACGUAGGCGGCUUUGCAAGUCGGCUGUGAAAUCCCUCGGCUUAACCAAGGAAGUGCAUCCGAAACUGCAGAGCUUGAGUACUUAAGAGGAUCGCGGAAUUCCCGGUGUAGAGGUGAAAUUCGUAGAUAUCGGGAGGAACACCAGUGGCGAAGGCGGCGAUCUGGGAAGAUACUGACGCUGAGGUGCGAAAGCGUGGGGAGCAAACAGG
rnacentral:rRNA from 1 species